rnacentral:rRNA from 1 species
CACUAGAUCAUGCUUCUAGGCGUCGCCCAAGGGAUGGGGCCGCGGCCGAUCAGGUUGUUGGUGAGGUAAUGGCCCACCAAGCCUUUUACCGGUGCGGGCCGUGAGAGCGGGAGCCCGGAGAUGGGCACUGAGACAAGGGCCCAGGUCCUACGGGGCGCAGCAGUCGCGAAACCUUUGCANNNNNNNNNNGUGUGACAGGGUCAUCCNNNNUGCCGACCGCUGAGGUUGGCUUUUACCCAGUCUAGCAAGCUGGGGGAAUAAGGAGAGGGCAAGUCUGGUGUCAGCCGCCGCGGUAAUACCAGCUCUCCGAGUGGCGUGGACGUUUAUUGGGCCUAAAGCAUCCGUAGCUGGCUGAACAAGUCCCCUGUUAAACCCACCGAUUUAAUCGUUGGUCUGCGGG